GCGUUCGUGGUGUAAUGGUCAGCAUGGAUGCCUUCCAAGCAUUCGACGGGGUUCGAUUCCCCCCGAACGCA
rfam:Caenorhabditis tropicalis strain JT1373 unplaced genomic scaffold Scaffold629, whole genome shotgun sequence.